AAUUAAGUAGGUAGUCUGUGUCUUUGCCCCACUGCGUGGUGCCUCCUCCACAGUAUGGCCCUGUUGGGGAAGCUAUUGCCGAGGCUUCCGCUCUAUUGUUUGGUGGUGGGGGCUCCUCUCCUGCCUCCUCCUUCUCUGUGGCGGCGGUGGCAGAGUGGCGGCAAAUCCAUAGCGACUGCCGAUCUCAUCCCUACAAUCCCCUUGCAUGCUGAUUGGCUCCCACCAUCUGUUGUGGGAAGGAGAGACUCCGGAAGGAGAGUCAUGAGCCGUUGAGAGGUUUAAAGAGAGGCAAGGAGGGUGGACAGUCAAGCCCAGCUAAUGUAUAUCAGUUUUGUCUCUGGAUUUGCAAAGAGUCAAGAGUUCCAGGACAAAGGCUCUGUUAAGUAAAUUAGAAGAGGCAUCACAGACUAUUUGUCCCAAGGAAUCCUGGGAACAGCAGCACUUUUUAAAAAUAAAGUUCUAACUUGCAUGGAAAAAACCGACACGAAGAGUGCUAUCAAGGGCAGCUGUGCACAGACUGAACGUCCACCUCCCACUAGUCGUAGGCUAAGGAGCUGGUGCAGAUGCAACCUUAGUUGGGUAUAUUGGGCAGGACCUUAUAACAGUAAACAGGCGGGUGGUAAUGGCGGAAAGUGCUACCGUCACUGAGGAUGAGCGGAAUCGUUGCUUACUGCCAUGUUUUUAGCAUGAGUGCACAGUAGUAGAUUUGGCAGAACAUAGCAAGUAUUGGGGGGGGAUAGGAAAAUAGGGCCUGUGGGUUGGAGCAUGAAUAUUUACCUAGGAUGGUAUGAUGUAUAAGCCCACCACUGCUGAAGCAACCUGAAACCCACUUCCCAUAGAACUGGAAGGGAAACUGGUGGUCAGUUUGUCCAAAUGCCUGCUCAACACAGGAUCUGCAGUGCAGCGUAGCUGACAGAUGGCCAUGCAGACUCUGCUUAAAUACCUCCAGCCAAGGACAGCCCCUCCGGUGGCAGCCUGUUCUACUGUUGAACACCUCUCACCAGUAAGAAGCAUCUCUGAACAUUUAGCCAAAAUCUGCUUCCCUGCAAUUUCCAUCCACUGGUCCUAGACCUGCUUUCUCCCUGUAGAAUUUGCUGUCUCUCAUCCUCCUGUGGCUUUCGCCCUGAAGCUGCUCUUUCGCAUGCAUGGCACGCACAUAUAUGCCUCUGUGCACAUACCCAAGCAGCCUCCUCCUUAGGGAGGAGUCAUCACUGAUGUGCCUGAUAUUGCAUUGUCACCUGGAGAAACUGGAAUGAAGGUUAAGAAGAUGCGGGCUCCGUUUUUUUUAAGGAUUCUCUGCAACCCCGCUGAGUGCAAUGCAACUUGACUAUAAGGUCAAUUCUCUUUCGUUUUCCAAGUAGUUGUUCCUGGCUGAAUUUGAAUCAGGGCUGGAGCUGGGGGCAAGGGUUGGAAUAAGGUUGAUAUUAAGGCUGAAGGUCCAAGGAUUUCCUGUGGCAAUUUUUCCCCCUUUGGUCUCAACAGCUGUUUAAAUAUAUAGCUGCCCCCACCCUAGCAGAUUCAACCAGUGUGAUGUUUAAGCUUGCCAAUCGAGUCAGAGCAAGCUCCGCGUUCAGGACAGAUGGCGAAUGUAACGACUGUGCUCUUAUUCCAUCCAGCGUGAGUCUUGGAGAUCGUGAUUCCAGAAAAAGGAUGCAAACAAAGACCAUCACACAGCCUGUUCCAGCUAGAAGCUUUCUUGCCCAGGGCCAUGCACCAUCAAAUGCCCUGCAGGAAGAAUCCUGAUGACUUUUUAUAUGUUGACACUGUUGAGUGUGCUGUUUUAAUUGUUUAUUGUGUGUUUUAAUUGUAAGCUGCUAUGGAGGAUUUGUAUCCUUAAAAGCAGCUUGUAGAUAAUUGUGACUGACAGAGAGAGACAGGAUAAUCUAUCUGAGCACAUCUGCAAGCCCAGGAAUUCUAUGACCCUACACCAGGUGUGGGGAACUAUUGGCCCUCCAGAUGUUUGCUGAAUUACAACUCCCAUCAGCCCCAGCCAGCAUGGCCAAUGGGCAGGGAGGAUGGGUCUUGUAGUUCAGCAACAUCUGGAGGGAGGGCCUAAGGUUCCCCACACCUACUCUACACUUCUCAGCAGGGCACGCAAAGCAUCUCACUCAGUUUCUCAGUUCUAACAGACCUUCUGGAAUCAGCUACCAACUGCAAUUAGACAAGUGCUUAGCAUCUUGAGAUUUAGGUGGCUUCUACUGACAUUUUUGUUUAAGAAGGCUUUUCCUGAAAUGUGACCCAGUCAUUUAAUGGAAUAUUAAUUGUUCAACUGGGCUCCUACUGGGAGGAAGGGCUGGAUAUAAAUCUUAUAAAUACAUAAUAUGAUAUAAUAUAAUAAUAACUGUAGAAAUUGUUUUAGUGCUUUUAGUUUAACUGAGU